AACCAGCAAGCAGAGUUUAAUCACGCAGCUAAGACCCGUGCAAGACAGAGGUCAGAGCCCUGUCAUCUCCUGUCAUAACUGGAGAACAGCGCUGAGAUCCUGGGGAGCAGAUGGCCUCUGGGGCUGUCUUCCUGUUGUGCCGUUCGCUGCCAGUAAUUUGUUUUCUAGCUUCUGAGUGGUGUUGGCAGUUGAACCCUCAGGAGAGAGCUGCUCAGUCAGAAGAUCCCAGAUAAACAGAUAUCCACCUCAACCGGUGUACAAAAAGAUCCCAGAUAAACAGAUAUUCACCUCAACAGGUAUACAGAUGGCACUAGAAACAGAGGAAAUGUGCAAAAGCAAGACAGCAUGCUACCUCAAAAAGAUCCUGCCCUUUCUAUAGCUGAACUUCAGUGUACUGAAACUGUUAAUUCUGGACAAAGAACUCAAAAAACUUCAUAGAGUAUUUGAAUAAUCAGAUGAAUGCACUAAGAGGACCCAGGGAAGAAUGGUCACAACCUCAAGGAAAUUGCGAUUCUGAAAACAAAAAGCUAAAUAGAAACAUUGGAAAUCAAAACUCAGUAAGUCAAAUGGAAGACACAAGAGAAAGCACUACCAAUGCACAGACACAGAAGGAAAAGCAAAAUCAGAGACUGAAGACAAAGAUGAGGCAGCAAUACGAACAAACAGCUAUAAAGAGAAAAAAAAAAUCAGGCAAAAACAACAUUCAGGAACUCAAGACCGAAUCACUAAACAAAGAGCAUGCACCAGCCGGACCGAGGCCCCCUGCACACAUGUGACAGAUGUGCACCUUGGUGUUCAUGUGGGAGCCCCAACUGGAGUGGGGACGGUCAGUGAAUCUUUAGCCUGCCUGUGGAUCCUGUUCCCCUACCUGGGAUGCCUCAAUGGGGAGGAUGUGCCUGGUCCUACAGUGAGUUGAUGUGCGAGGUGGGAUAACACGUGGGAGAGUGGAGUACUCCUCAGAGGAGAAGAGGAGGAGGAAGUAGGGA